UCACACACGCACUGACGCCCUUGCCACACUCAUUCACUCACUCACCGUAGCCCAAUACUAUAUAACGAGACAGCGUUUCCUCUCU
rnacentral:ribozyme from 1 species